UCCUCUCUCUCUCCUCUUCAAUCCAUCUAUUCUUCUUUCUCACUUCUCUUCUCUUCUCUCGUCCCCCCAUCUCUUCUCUUCUCUUCUUUCCCUUCAAUCCCAUUUAAUCAACACACAAACAACAAUAAUACAUUUGGAUGCAAUCAACAACAACAUAGCAAGCAACACUUUCGGAUCCAAACAACCCAUUUUCGGCCAAUCAACAACAACGACAACCCAGAAAACAACUCGAUGGAGAAGAUGAAGGAAUCAUAAGUCUGUUGUUUGAGAGUUUGAAAAUUCAACUGUUGUUGUUGGAAUGACAACAACAGCAACUACACAACUGAAUUUCGAACCCUUAUCAAACCCAGAAAACAAAUCAGCUUGAAUCAAUCAGCUUGAAUCCAACCCUUCUUCUGUUCGAUUUAUGUUCCAAUCAGCUUGAAUCAAACCCAGAAAACAAAUCAAAAAUCAAACCCACAUCAUGGUUGAUUUCGAUUUCGAUUUUUUGCUUUUGAUUUCAAUUUUACUUUCAAAAAUCAAACCUUGAAAACAAAAUAAAUCUUAUGAAUUUGGUUUUGAUUUUGAUUUUUUGCUUGAAGCAAAAAAGGGAGAGAGGAGAAGAUAAGGUGGGAGAGAAGAGAAGAAAUAAGAGAAGGAAGAAGAAAUGGAAGAACAGAAACAGAGAAGAGAAGGUGGGAGAAAAGAGAAGAAGAAAAAAAAGGAAGAAGGAGUAAAUAGGCAAUUACCCCUAUGAAAUUGUAAGUUUUGUCAAUUACCCUAUGAAAUUAACAAAACUUCAAUUACCUCCAUGAAAUUGCACAACGUUAAUCAAUUUAAUCUUUCCGUCAAAUUUUUUUGUAGUCAACAUGACGUUUUGCAAAUACCCCCUGAAGUUUUGCAGUUAUGUGCAAAAUGCCCCCUAAACUUGAAAAUUCAUUUUUUUUCUUAUCCUAAAAUUCAUAUUUUUUUUUUCUUAUCCAAAACAUGCAAAUUUGGACUUAGUUAUUGGCCAAUGAAAAUUGAUAUAUUAUCCAACAACCUGAGUGACUAUAGAAUGGUGAAAGCUGAACAAAAAAGGAUCAAAAGGAUCUUGUGCAAAGCGUUAAAAAUGUAAUCAAAUGUGUUAAUUUAAUAGUUGAAAGUGAACUUAACAAAAGAACGGUAAAGCGUUCAAAAUCAUGCCAACAAAACUGAAAUUCAAUCGUUGAAAGUUUAAAGCUAAUGCAAUCGAAGCUGCUCAAAUAAAAUGGUUCAUUAUGAUUCACAUUUAGGGAUUCAAAAACACAUGUAUUCGAUCAUAUAACAGAAUAAAAAAGAUGAGCAAUAGUCACUCCUUUUCUAAACUAAGACAAGACAAUAAUAUAAUAUGUCACCACUUAUAACCAUAUAUGGAGUAAUUGCCUAUUUAAUCCAUAUAUAUCCUAAAAUUUAUAUUUACUCCAUGUAUAUCCUAAAAUUUAUUUGGAGUAACGCAACCAUAUAUUUUGACAUCUUGGUUAUGCCAAUUAUAUGUCAUUUAUGUGUUUCAUCAUGUAUGUCAUGCAUUAGUUUGAUCGUUUCAGGGAACAUAUAUGGUUGUAUACCGACAAAACUUAGUUAAUAUGCUUCACAAUCAGUGACAAUGCAGUCACUUUUAAGGAUAAGAAAAAAAAUAUAAAUUUUCAUGUUCAGGGGGCAUUUUGCACAUAAGUGCAAAAGUUCAGGGGAGUAUUUGCAAAACGUCAUGUUGACUAACAGAAAAAUUUGACGGAGUGGGUAAAUUGAUUAACGUUGUGCAAUUUCAGGGGGGUAAUUGAAGUUUUGUUAAUUUCAAGGAUAAUUGACGAAACUUACAAUUUCAGGGGGGGUAAUUGCCUAUUUACUCAGGAAGAAGAGAGAAGAUGAUUCACGCUGGAGAAGAAGAGAAAGAAAAAGAAAUGAGAUUUUUAAUUUAUCAUUAGGGGUAUUUUAGGUAUUUCACUUUUUAAUAUAUUUUAAAUUUUAAAAUAAAAUAUAUGACAUGUCAGUGUAACUUCACCCAUCGUUACAUAGUCAGCAUGCUAAAUCAUCAAAUAUAUCUAGCUGAUGUUGGUUGUGGGGGGUAAACCAAAUAAUCUUUAUUUUACAGGGGGAAUCUCCAAUUUUUUUUUAUUGGAGGUAAACCAAAAGAGCCCCAAAUAGCAGAGGGAUAAAAGCCUAUUAACCCUUAAUUUUUUCGAAAGAAGGUGAUUCCUUUAAUGUUCUUUUGUGUACCUUCACUUUCAGAAAUAAGGUAGAGCUUCAAAAAGUUGUGGUUUAUGUUUUGACAUCUAUCGGCAGCAACCUUGUUUGAUUUUUUUUAGAUGUGUUAUUUGAACAAUUAUUUGUGUGAUAACUUUAGGAACAACCAUAAAUUUAUGAAAAAAAAUAUUUAUUGAUACGAAAAUUAAAGCAAUAAAGAGAUAAAAAAAAUAUAAUGUAAAUAUGAAAUAUAAAGUUAUCACAAAACGGAUAUAUAAAUAUCAUUUCUUUAUUAAAAAUUGUAUAAACAUACAAUGAUAUUUUUUUUUAUUUUUUACAAAAAUAUACAGUGAUAUCAAAUGUGAAUAAGUGUAGAUGUAAUUAUUGUCUUGUUAAAAUGGGUAAGAAAUUAUCUAUUUUCUAAAAAAUGUAUGAUUAAAUAGAAGUUCAUGAACUCAGAGAUGUCGAUUGAUUUGAGGAGGAAAGACUACCAAGAAAGUUACUUUAUAUUAAGAAACAUGGGGGACCAUAACAUCAACAAGGGCCGUUCCUAGAGUUUUACGGGCCUUAAGCAUAAUAUGAAAAAAAGUCCCUUACAUAAUACAUCAUAAUUCUUUUUAGCUCAUUGUAGUGCUUUUUUAGCUCUUCAUUUCGUUUUUCUAUUUCACUUUUCACUACCAAAUAAAUGUUUUUUAGACAACAUCUGAAAAUAAAUUAAAUACUCUAUGUACACCAAAACAAAAUAAAAUAUCGUAAAAGUAGAGAAAAAUAGCAUAUGCAAAGUAGACUGAAAUUUUAGCACCCCAUUUUCAACUAAAAUAGAAUUUGCUUUGUUAUGAAAAUUAUCCCAAUUUCUUGGAUAAUAAAUAUCGUCGAUAUUUUUAAUAUUAGUGAAGCACAUUAUUAGGAACAAAGGGCCCAAAAAAAUAUCACCAAUUUCUUUGAUAAUAAAUUUUCGAGCAUAUUAUUGAACAACCAAUUUUUUUACACGAGGGUGUAUAUAGAUAUUUUUGUGCUACAUGGGAUAUAUAUAGCAUAUCUCUCUAAAAGGGCCAAAAACAUUAACAGAUUUCAGUCCAUUCCUAUAUCUUAUCAAAGUUUGGACCUUUUCAAAGAAUUUUGAUAUACAUACCCCUCCAAAAUCUAAAUAUUUCUAUAUACGCCCUCCAGCUUAAUUUUUUUUUGGGCCCCCUACCGGCAAGGGCCCUAGCCCGUCGCACUCGUGGCCUAUGCCCUAGGGCCGGCCCUGAACAUCAACAUCUUGAUUAUUUAUGGAUUAAAAUUUGGACUCAAGCUAAUCCAAAACGUAUGUUGAUAGUACAUGGACCCAUCGAUCGGAAUCUUUAGGAUAUUGUCUACAUUUUACCAUGAUUUAAGUUGUUUGCUUGUCUCAUGAAGAUAAAUACACUAUGUUGUUGACGGAAGUGAUACAUGCCGAAGAAAUCUCAUAUUGUUUAGUAUGGUAAAGGAUUGUAAAGAAAGAGAUAUAACAAAGACUAUUGCUCUUACGUGAUUGAUAUUGAAAUGAUCGAGAUCAAACAACUCAUGUUGAGAUUAAAAUUGGAGGUAUCUACAGGUAUUUUAAUGCUCAAGUAACUAUGAGAUCAAAGUGUGUGAGGUACUGAAAAGAUAGAAGUUGUGUACCUUGUGUUGGUGGUGAAGGAUGCAUUUUAUAGGCGUUGAUAAUAAGCCGGCAUAAAAUUGAUUAAGGUUUGUUGCGAUCGAUAUGUUGGAUUCUGAAGACGUUAGUCAUUGAGGCAUUACAAAAUGGUGAAAUAUGGUGUAUUAUCGUUGAAACGUUAGAUAUCCGUGAUUGCUUUUCAUGUCUGAAAAGAUGCGUCUUAAGAUUUUGGAUAGAGAUAUAGAAUCCCAUGUGACCCUGGACCAUGUAUUGUAAACAUACACUACAGCUAAGGAGCUAAUGCCUAUUCAAUACAUAAUUAAUUACAUUGUUAAUCAAUGAACCAUGAGCAACAUUCAAAACCAUUGUAAUCUCUUUGACAUGUUUUGUUGAAAGACAAUGGAGGGAGAAAAUGAUUGUUUUAAUUUUUGGCGGACUUGUUCUUUUUCUUUUUCUUGGAGGGUAUAGGAAAAUGGAGCAAAAAGUUUCUCAAGUUGAUUUUAACUCUCCCCCAAAAGUAGGAUAUUUAGAAAGGAAAGAAUACUGUUAAAUUUGAACGUGAAGACUUUUAUAUUUAAAGUGACCUUAAAUAUUAUAAGAGUAAAAAAUAUAAAAUAAUUUAACAUUUUUUCUCCAUAAAAUUUUUCUCCUUCCUUCAAUCACACACAAAGCAAUUUAAGAUAUCAUUUUCAUUCGAUAUUAAAUAUAAUCAGGAAUGUAUCACAAUCUAAGCAACUUAACAUCACAAAUAUUCUUCAAGUUCAAGCUGUUCUUGGCACCGAAAAAUACUUGGGCUUACCUUCUAUGAUUGGAAGAAGUAAAAAAGCGACGUUCAAUUUCAUCAAAGAUCGCAUUUGGAAGAAAAUUAACUCAUGGAGCAGUAAAUGUUUGUCAAAGGCAGGACGUGAAAUACUUAUCAAAUCAGUGCUUCAAUCUAUACCUACAUAUUUUAUGAGUAUUUUCACCCUCCCUACCUCUUUAUGUGAUGAGAUUGAAAAAAUGCUUAAUUCAUUCUGGUGGGGUCACUAUGGUACACAAGGCAGAGGUUUGCAUUGGUUGUCUUGGGACAGGUUAGCUGCUCAUAAAAAUGAUGGAGGAAUGAGUUUUAAAAGCUUACCCGUGUUUAAUUUGGCAAUGCUUGGAAAGCAAGGAUGGCGUAUUAUGACUAACCCGGAUACUCUUAUUGCUCGAAUUUAUAAGGCCCGGUACUUUCCACGAUGUGAUUUUCUUCAAUCCUCUCUAGGACACAAUCCCAGUUAUGUUUGGAGAAGCUUAUGUAAUUCAAAAUUCAUUCUGAAGGCGGGGAGUAGAUGGCGGAUAGGAGAUGGCGACACGAUUUCAAUUUGGAACAAUAAGUGGAUUGCAGGUGAUAUUACUUUAAUUCCACCCACUGUAGGUGAUUUUCACCUUUCUCAACUAAGAGUUUCUCAUUGUAUUCUUCAACACCAUAAGAUGUGGGAUGUUCUAUUCUUGGAAACUAUCUUUGAUCAGCAAACUGUAGCUGCUAUUAUCAAAACGCCGCUAUAUACAUCUGUCAAGGAGGAUAGACUUGUGUGGAAUAAAGAGAACAACGGAGAAUAUUCUGUCAGAAGUGCAUACCGACUCUGUGUAACGCCCUAGUUAUUUAUUUAAUUAUUUUAUUAUGUGGAGUAUAUAUAUAUAUAUAUAUAUAUAUAAUUAUAUAUGAGGUUUGGUGAUUUAUGUGGAGUAUAUGCAUAUAUUUAUAUAUAUGUGAUUUUUGAGUGUUUUAUGUGGUGUAUUAUUUUAUUAUAUAGUUUAUUUAAUAAUAAUUAGAAUAAGUAUGAAAUAAUAAUUAUUUUGGUAUUUGGGGGAAUUAAUUGGAGUUAGUAGAAAUUAUGAGGAGUUAAGUGUAAAUAGAAGGGAGUUACAUUAAGUGGGAAGUUAAUAGAGAGAAGUUAGAAAAACAGUUUCACGUAGAACCAGUUUUGGGAGGAAGCAAGAGAGAACCAAGGAAGAACCUAGAGUUGAUUAUUGUUGUGCAUUUCUUUCUGCAAUUCUAAGGUAAGGGUGAGGUUUACUUCAAGAAUGUAGUUAUUAAAUUCUGAUUUUGUAUUUAACAAGUUUUGAUGAGGAAUUGGGAAUUUGGGGUUUUAUGAUAGAAUGAUGAUUUUGAAGUUGUAAGCAUGUUUUUGAUGUUAGAAUUGGGUUCUGGUUGCAUAGAACACUUAAUUAUGUAUCUGUAAACUGAUUUGGGGAGUGAUUGGAAGGAAAAUGGGAUUUUUGGGUAAAACCAGUUUUCUGCCCAUACAGAAGUUCAUCGCUCGCCUCGCGAGUAGCUGUGCUCACCAUGGCGAGUGAGCAACUUCAUCGCUCGCCUCGCGAGCAGUCCAACUCGCCAUGGCGAGUAGCCCAUAAUAAAACUUGAUUUUUGAAAAGUUGUUAUAAGAUGUUUUGGGGAUGGUUUAAGGUACCUAGAUGAUUUUAAUGAUGAAUGGUGAAAGUUUUAGGUUAAAAAGAUGAGUAGGGAACUUAGAAUUUGGAUUUGAGUGAGAAAAUGGCAUUUUUCCCGAGAGCACUUGAUUUUCACUCGCCUUGAACUCGCCACGGCGAGCUACUGUUUUUGUGAACUCGCCAUGGCGAGCAGAUGCGCUCGCGAGGCGAGUUGCACAGUUUCUGAGUGUUGACUUGCUUGCAUGAUUAGUAGUGGUUGGUGUUGUUGUAUUUGAGCAUGGUUGUAUAUAAUUAUACAUUAUUUUGGUUGAUUGGAUUGUUGGAUUGAUGAAUACUGAUGAUGGUUGAAAUGUAUGUUAUUUAUUGAAUCAUACAUAUUAUUAUAGUGGAGUCACAUGGAGUUGCAUUGCAUGGUCAGUUGUAUGUAGAUAUACACAAGUAGGUCCAUUGCAUAUGCAUAAAACAGCGGUGAGGGCUUCGGUCCUGGAGUACUAGUUGCUCAACAGCGGUGAGGGCUUCGGUCCUGAUGAAUGCUUUAACCAUUCAAAAGCGGUGAGGGCUUCGGUCCUGUUUGGUACCACAUGCAUAUUGCAUUUCAUUAAGAAGUCUAAGAUGGUGUCUUAGCAGUGGUCAUGUCAUUUGCAUGAGUCUUGGUUGUUGAUUUCAGUUAUUUUCUGAUGGAUGAUGUUGGUGUUGAAUAUGCAUUUAUAUAUAUAUUCAUUGUGAUCAUGGUGUAUUGUUGAUGUUGUUGUUGCUUGUGACUUAUACAUAUAUUUGUUUAGAAGAUAAAGUGUUGUUGAUUAGGGUGUUAGAUUCAAUUGAUGAUUUUAAUAUCUAUAUUUAUUGUUGUGAAUCUCACCCCUUCUGCUUGAAAAUGUUGCCCUUCCUAUGAGUAACUUGCAGGUGAUCCUGAGUAGUAGGUGGUGGCUCAAAGUCGUGUUUAGGGCUCUGAUACGUGGGAUGGGAUUUAUCAUUUUUAUCAUUGUUGCUUUUCCUUUCCAUGUAUCAAAUUUUGGAACUUAUGGUGUGGAGCCUUUUGUUGUCUUUGAACUAUGAUGUUGAAUUAUGUUAAGGCCUUUAAUGCCUUAGACUAUUGUUGGAUGUUCAUGAGGUUAUGGAUUUUGAAAACUAUUCCGCUGCUAUGUUUUCAUAAAUAAUAAGUUGCUUGAUUAAAUAGUUUUAUUUUCUAUUUAAGAAAUUUUGAAAUGACGUGUAGCAUGCCCGUUUGUGGAACUACUCUGAUGUAUAUUUGCUAUUUAAUUGCUUUUGGGUAACGGGGUGUUACACUCUGCAUGCAGGAGCUACUAGAUAUAUAUAUGAGUUUAAAGUUCCUGGAGCGUGGGAUUAUAUUUGGAAUCUUAAAGUGCCCCCUAAAUUGUAAAACUUGGUGUGGAGAGUUGCUAGAAAUAUUCUGCCAACUAGG
rnacentral:lncRNA from 1 species